AGAGUCCUUAAUGACAGAGGAGCACAGAAGGGACUUUACAAGAAAAGCAAUUACUAUAAGAGGUUAUUAAGUCAUUUGCUAUAGGGUAUACUGACAUCUCUCUCUCCAUGUGUCAUCUUACAGUGUCUUUAAUAAAGGCCAUAUGGCUCACUGAACCUUCUUAAAAAAAAAAAAAAAACAUAUUCCUUUGUGAGGUAAUUAAAAGGGGGACUGAAUUCUCUGCUUGGGUUGGUAGAUUUUGCAGGGAAGACUAAGUUUAGGAUGGUAGAGAUCCUGAGAGUGCAAAUCUAUUGGAAUUAGUAAAAAUGCCCGGGAAAACUUCAGACUUUUAAGGCCAUAGAUUUGAUGGUGUCACACCUGAAAUUUUUAAGGAGCGAAGCUAUUCACAGGUGAUAUUUGGGUCACAUGUGGAUGAACAUAAGUGGAAGAACUAGAGUGUCAUUCCAUAGCGUAGGUGAGAUGUGAUGAGAGGAUGGAGACGGAAGGUAGGGAGGCCCAGAGAAGAGCAGGGCAAUCAUGUUGGGCCAGGAAGGAGUUAGUAGGAGAGAGACUGUGGGUUCCUUUCUCCUUUUGGUCUCCAUCCUCACCCUUAAGAAUCCUUCAGGAUUGUUCCAUUGCUCUGUGAUGCAGGCGUGGAAUUCCAGUGAGGAUAAUGCAUUCUCAGUGCCAAGAUUUCCGAGGCCACAGUGUGCCUCAGAUGAAGAACUAUUAUUUUUUUUCUGAGGAUGCUUGGCACACCAUGGCUGAACUUAACGUGGAUUCCAUACAACAUUGAUCCCAUUUUCUACUUCUUGUUUGUUCUGAGUUCCUCUUGUUUUUCUUCCCCCUACAAAUGAAUCUAUCAAUAUUUGGGUGAAUCAGAGACAUACAUCAGGUCUAAGCCCGUGUGGAAGGUGUGGUUUGAAGAGAAAUGCAGAGCCUGUGAAAGCCUUUGAUCACCUGUGAAUGAUGAAGCUCUGGCCUCAGGGAGACGUUUCCUAUCUGGCUGAACAUGAUGCUUCUUUUUAUUCCUGUCCUCAGUGUGAAUCUUCCUACUUCAGCCUCAUGAUCAAGAUGAAGACUUGUUUUGUCAAGUUAGGAAAGAUCCUUCCGUCCCUAAUUUUGAGGGUUUUAAUAAACCGAUGGCUACUGGAAAGACUGCAUGGACCCAGAAAGAAUGUGUGGAUUUCUCUUCUUCAUACUGGAUGGACUGGAUUUGAGGCAGAAAUAUACGCUGCUCCUGACUCACCCAGGGCAGCUCCACAUUUCCCAACCCCAUUUAAAUGAGCGAGAGAAAUAUCACCAGUUUUGCUAGUGGGAUAAAAUUGGAAACAGAAAGAGGUCACUGUCAUGUGCAUUUCAACUGUCUUAGGAGGUUUUCUUUUUCUUUGCAUUUAGCUCCUGGGAUAUUUGGAUUGUUUAUGCCCCCAGGGCAUGACUCCCCCAUUCUGUCUAAACAGCUUUACCCAAAUUUCUUCAUCUCCCACAGCUAGUUGAGCAUCAGUAUUUUUAAAACUAUGUUCUCAAGUGGCCUUAUCAAACAUUUUCUCCAUCCUCACUGUCACUGCUCUAGGUUCCAGAAAGUACAAGAAUCUCUGUGUCCCCAAAGCAUCUGGUCCUCAAUGCUACUGAAAAAUGCCCACAUAUCACAGGGUAGGGAUUCCGCUGCCAUGAUCCUCAGAAAUGUACUCAUAUGACCCAAGCCGCCAUUUCAUGCUUAUCCCUCUUUGCUUAUCAGACGACAGCAAUCGAAGUUACUCUGACAGUAGGGGAAGAUUAAGGGAAUAUAUAUUUGUGUUUGUGUGUGUGUGUGUAGAGGUAGUAGUUGCAGGGGAUUUUGAACAUAUGGCUCUAAUCUCUGACUUGAAAGUUGGGAGGGUUUGUGUAGUGUAGGAAAGGAAAAGCAACUGUUUGGUAAGUAGAACUUUGACAAGAGUGGGAUUAGCAAGGAUCCCCCCAGUCUACCAGAACCCAAAGUUAUCUAUGGUGAUGACCUGUCCUGAUGACAGGCCUUUAUUUUAAAUUUCUUCUAGGCAGUUAGCGGGGAAAGGUCAAACUUCUUGCUGAGUCUGAGCCUUUAUGGUCUUCAGCUCAAAAUAAUCCGUGCGCCGGAGUGGCGCAUGUUGGGGUGGCCUGCCCUGAAUCCCAUCAAUGGGAAUCCCAGAUGAAGUACAGAUUUGUAUUUUUAAAAAAGGAUUAAUUGUAACUCAUAUUUUAUGUGACUUCUUUAUUUACAAAAGGAAUAAAUUUUGUGGAAAUUUCA
rnacentral:lncRNA from 1 species